rnacentral:rRNA from 1 species
AACGAACGCUGGCGGCAUGCCUAACACAUGCAAGUCGAACGAGACCUUCGGGUCUAGUGGCGCACGGGUGCGUAACGCGUGGGAACCUGCCCUUAGGUUCGGAAUAACUCCCCGAAAGGGGUGCUAAUACCGGAUAGUGUCUUCGGACCAAAGAUUUAUCGCCUUUGGAUGGGCCCGCGUUGGAUUAGCUAGUUGGUAGGGUAAAAGCCUACCAAGGCGACGAUCCAUAGCUGGUCUGAGAGGAUGAUCAGCCACACUGGGACUGAGACACGGCCCAGACUCCUACGGGAGGCAGCAGUGGGGAAUAUUGGACAAUGGGCGAAAGCCUGAACCAGCAAUGCCGCGUGAGUGAUGAAGGCCGUAGGGUUGUAAAGCUCUUUUACCCGGGAUGAUAAUGACAGUACCGGGAGAAUAAGCUCCGGCUAACUCCGUG